UACGUAGGGCGCAAGCGUUAUCCGGAAUUAUUGGGCGUAAAGAGCUCGUAGGCGGUUUGUCGCGUCUGCCGUGAAAGUCCGGGGCUCAACUCCGGAUCUGCGGUGGGUACGGGCAGACUAGAGUGAUGUAGGGGAGACUGGAAUUCCUGGUGUAGCGGUGAAAUGCGCAGAUAUCAGGAGGAACACCGAUGGCGAAGGCAGGUCUCUGGGCCGAUACUGACGCUGAGGAGCGAAGGCGUGGGGAGCGAACAGG
rnacentral:rRNA from 1 species